AGAGCAAGACUCCAUCUCAAAAAGAAAAAAAAAAAGUAUAGCAAAUACAAGUAUGUACAGAACGUAAUACCUGAUAAUGAUAAAUUACUAUGUGGCUGGCUUAUGUGUUUAUGAUAGUAUACUUUUUAUUGUUAUUUUAGAGUGAACUCCUUAUAUUAAAAAAAAAAUUAACUGUAAAACAACCUCAGACAGGCCCUCCAGGAGGUAUUCCAGAAGAAGGCAUUGUUAACAUAGAUGACAACUCCGUGUGUUAUUGCUCCUGAAGACCUUCCAGUGGGACAAGAUGUGGAGAUGAAAGACAGUCACAAUCCCAACUCUGUGUAGGCCAAGGUCGCCAGCACGCUGGACGGUAUGUUUCAUCCGGAGAACUCGACCAUUCGGUGGCGGCGGCUGUUACUGGCGGCAGCGGGCCUGUCUGCUUGUGAGGAUCAGCUUCUGAAGCUCCUUCUUAAUUUCCUUCUGGGUAAUGUGCGACUCCACAGCCAUCUUUCUCCUACGGUCUCAGACUUUGAAUAAAAACAAAAACAAGUUGGUC